rnacentral:rRNA from 1 species
AAGUUAUAAGCAAUUAUACCGUGAAACUGCGAAUGGGCUCAUUAAAUCAGUUAUCGUUUAUAAGACGUUAGCCUUACUACUUGGAUACCCGGGGUAAUUCUAGAGCUAAUACAUGCAAAAAACCCCGACUUCUGAAGGGGUGUAUUUAUUAGAUAAAAAACCAAUGCCCUUCGGGGCUCUUUGGUGAUUCAUAAUAACUUAACGGAUCGCAUGGCCUUGCGCUGGCGACGGUUCAUUCAAAUUUCUGCCCUAUCAACUUUCGAUGGUAAGGUAUUGGCUUACCAUGGUUUCAACGGGUAACGGGUUUUUAGGGAAAGACUCCGGAGAGGCAGCCUGAGAAACGGCUACCACAUCCAAGGAAGGCAGCAGGCGCGCAAAUUACCCAAUCCUGAUACAGGGAGGUAGUGACAAUAAAUACUGAUACAGGGCUCUUUUGGGUCUUGUAAUCGGAAUGAGUACAAUUUAAAUACCUUAACGAGGAACAAUUGGAGGGCAAGUCUGGUGCCAGCAGCCGCGGUAAUUCCAGCUCCAAUAGCGUAUAUUAAAGUUGUUGCAGUUAAAAAGCUCGUAGUUGAACCUUGGGCCUGGCUGAUCGGUCCGCCUCACCGCGUGUACUGGUUCGGCUGGGCCUUUCCUUCUGGAGAACCGCAUGCCCUUCACUGGGUGUGUCGGGGAACCAGGACUUUUACUUUGAGAAAAUUAGAGUGUUCAAAGCAGGCCUUUGCUCGAAUACGUUAGCAUGGAAUAAUAGAAUAGGACGUGCGGGUCCUAUUUUGUUGGUUUCUAGAACCGCCGUAAUGAUUAAUAGGGGAUAGUCGGGGGCGUCAGUAUUCAAUUGUCAGAGGUGAAAUUCUUGGUAUCUAUUGAAGACUAACUACUGCGAAAGCAUUUCCGGCCAAGGAUUGUUUUCAUUAAUCAGUGAGACGAAAAGUUAAGGGGAUCGAAGACGGAUCAGAUACCCGUCCGUAGUCUUUAACCGUAAACUAUGCCGAACUUAGGGAAUCGGGGGAAUGUUUUCUUUCCUUGACUCGCUCGGCCCCUUACGAGAAAUCAUAAAGUUUUUGGUUCUGGGGGAGUAUGGUCGCAAAGGCUGAAACUUAAAGAAAUUGACGGAAGGGCACCCCAGGCGUGGAGCCUGCGGCUUAAUUUGACUCAACACGGGGAAACUCACCAGGGUUCAGAUGAAAUAAGGAUUGACAGAUUGAGAGCUCUUUCUUGAUUUUUCAGGUGGUGGUGCAUGGCCGUUCUUAGUUCGUGGCGUGAGUUGUCUACUUAACUGUGAUAACGAACGAGACCUUAACCUGCUAAAUAGCCAGGCUAGCUUUGGCUGGUCGCCGGCUUCUUAGAGGGACUAUCGGCUCAAGCCGAUGGAAGUUUGAGGCAAUAACAGGUUAACCUUCACAGGCCUGUAACAGUGGGCCUCAUUAAAGAUAACUGCUAGUCCAGCGUCUCAACCUUCUUAGGGGAAGUCCCCUGCUGUCGGGAGAAGGCAAGCUCAUGCUUGUGAUGCGGGCAACACUACCUGGUACAGGGAACGCCGAACCCGCCUUUGUGGUGGGUAGGCCGAUCCUGUGGCGAGCCAAAGUAACGUUUGGCCGUCGCAACGCGCGGAAAGGAGUGGGCUGACAUGCGUGCAUGUUGGCUUAAGGUACGUGCUAAUCCCUUGGGUAACCAAGCCCUGGCGUCAAGACCCGACAGGUCGAAGCGUCAGGGGGCAGAACGCGCUGUCUGCGCGGGCUGCUGGCUUCUGAAAAUGCUGUGAUGCCCUUAGAUAUUCUGGGCCGCACGCGCGCUACACUGACAGAGCCAACGAGUUCAUCACCUUGGCCGGAAGGUCUGGGUAAUCUUGUUAAACUCUGUCGUGCUGGGGAUAGAGCAUUGCAAUUAUUGCUCUUCAACGAGGAAUGCCUAGUAAGCGCGUAUCAUCAGUACGCGUUGAUUACGUCCCUGCCCUUUGUACACACCGCCCGUCGCUACUACCGAUUGAAUGGACAUCAGUGAGGCGAUCGGACUGGCUUAGGGAGGUUGGCAACGACCACCCCGAGCCGGAAAUCCC